rnacentral:rRNA from 1 species
UACGUAGGGAGCGAGCGUUGUCCGAAGUUACUGGGCGUAAAGCGCGCGUAGGCGGGCUAUUAAGUGAGAGGUGAAAGGCUGGGGCUCAACCUCAUGCAGUGCCUCUCAUACUGGUAGUCUUGAGGGCGGUAGAGAGAAGUGGAAUGGCUGGCGUAGCGGUGAAAUGCGUAGAUAUCUGGAGGAAUACCGGUGGCGAAGGCGGCAUCCUGGACCGGCAUUGACGCUGAUGAGCGAAAGCUAGGGGAGCAAACGGG